CGUGAUUUGGAGGUAAACUAUGCCAUUGGUUCAGAACUAACAAGUGCAAACAAUAAUUAUGCAUUG
rnacentral:sRNA from 1 species